UUUAAGGAGUCGAUUUUUUAAUCGGCUCCAUAAAAUGGCUGAUGGCUCUUGGGUCAUCAGCCU
rnacentral:sRNA from 1 species